rnacentral:lncRNA from 1 species
GACACCCUUUUAAUUCUUCAUCACAGAUGUAAUUCGAUUUCACAAAACAAUCAAGAGUAAUCACACCUACUUCAUUAAAAAUCUCGAUUCACCAUUACAACAUUGACUUUAGCAACGAUUGCCUCAGUCUUCCCAAAACCCUAUGAAGAAAAAAAACCCAAUUCUCUGUCUUUUUUUCCCUCCUGAAGCAUGAAGCUAGCUCUCCGAUCCUUCUUAAAAAACUUGUCUCCCCCCUCAAAACCUCAUUCUCCCUCCUUCAUUUCUUAA